UGAACACACAAUUUGCAUUUCCCUCCACCACUAAUUUGUCUGAACAUCCCCAGGUGUGGGCUGUUGCCUGCCAGGCUCUAAAUGUAACUCAGCUGUGCUGCAUUGAGGGGAAUCUCUCCAGGUUUCUUGCAUUUUCACUGCCAGACCCAGCCAUUUCCUCAGAGACUGCAUGUCACCAGAAGAUUCUGAUGUCCUCUCUGAGUCCUCUAGUGCUUCUGGGAGGUUACAGAUGUGAAACACAACAUGAGGAAGUGCAAAGCUGACAUACUCCUGGCCUGGAACAUCCCAUGUUUCUUCAGAAAAUGAAUUCCUAACCUGAUCAUCUGGCCAGCAACUGAAUUUUAUCCUUGUGCUUCCUGCUCACACAGCUCCAUCCAUUUCCUCUGCCCUCCCCAGGCGUGACUCUGCAGUAGCUGGCAGGGCUGUGAGAGGGAGCAGAGUGUCUGAGCUCCUGGGACUUGGGAGCCAGCCAAAAAUGACGCAUGUGGAGACUCCCCUCCACAGCUGUAUCCUUUUCAAAGUGAUGUUUGUAGCAGAGAGCUACAAAAGUGCUAUUAUGUUGUCUUGAGUGGCUAUGUGGGUUGCAUUCUAAGAGCAGGGAUUAAAUUUUGCCAUCACUGCCCAUGAGCAAUUUGCCAUUGUGUGGAGAGCAGCUUUCAG